CAAAUACUCCCUCCGUCCGGAAAUACUUGUCAUCAAAAUGGAUAAAAGGAAAUGUAUCUAGACGUAUUUUAGUUUUAGAUACAUCUAUUUUUAUCCAUUUUGAUGACAAGUAUUUUUGGACGGAGGGAGUAGAAA
rnacentral:pre_miRNA from 1 species